rnacentral:pre_miRNA from 1 species
AAUUUCAGCUGAAAAAGUCAUGAACAUAAAAGUUGUAGAGCUCAUCAAGACAUGCAACUUUUAUUUUGGUCAUUUCUUCAUCUGAUAAAGUGAUAGUAAUAUUGUUCACAAAGUUUACAUAUCUCUCUUAUAGUUUAUAGAACCAAAUGAGAUAGAUGUAGAUUUUGUGAACAAUAUUACUAUCACUUUGUCGGAUGAAGAAAUGACCAAAAUAAAAGUUAUAGAUCUUGAUGAUGAGUUAUACAACUUUGUUGUCGAUGACUUUUUCAGUUAAAAUC